GCUCUUAUAAAAAAUCCGUUCUUCCUUAUAGUCAACUCUCUGGUAUUUGGGACGAGGGAUAAUUUUUCAAAGGAGGGUGUUUGGGGAGAUAGAAAAAACUGAUGAGAAAAAAGAAUGAUUAAAUUCGCAAUAUUCGAGUUCUAUGCAAAGAAUGCGUUUGGAAAAACGAGUCUCUAUUGGCUUUUGGAGUUCUACGGUGUUUGGAUGCUAAAUUGUUGAACUAAAUCAACCUCUGUUUUCCAGGAAAAUUGCUUCCACUUCUUUCUGGGAUUUCGGAGCUACGCCGAUUUCAACUUCCAAACUGGAUUUUGGUGGCUUCAUCUGUUUCAUGGAAAAUUGCUUCCACUUCUUUCUGGGAUUUCGGAGCCACCCCGCCGAUUUCAACUUCCAAACUGAAUUUUGGUGGCUUCAUCUGUUUCAUGGUAAGUUCUAUAACCGAAAUGAAUGUAAUGAUUUGCUUAUUUUACUGUUAAAAUUUUCUCUGCUGUGAUGAGAUAAAUUUGGAAUAGGGAUUUUGAAUUGCUUGUUAUGGAAUGAUUGGAGGAGGGAUUGAAAUUAUCUGAAUCGUAUUUCAUUUGAUUGA